CCUACGGGUGGCAGCAGUGAGGAAUAUUGGUCAAUGGGCGAGAGCCUGAACCAGCCAAGUCGCGUGAAGGAUGACGGCCCUACGGGUUGUAAACUUCUUUUGUCAGGGAGCAAUUGGGUCCACGCGUGGGCUUAGCGAGAGUACCUGAAGAAAAAGCAUCGGCUAACUCCGUGCCACGAGCCGCGGUAAUACGGGGGAUGCGAGGGUUAUCCGGAUGUAUUGGGUUUAAAGGGUGCGUAGGCGGACGAUCAAGUCAGCGGUAAAAGUUCGGGGCUCAACCCCGUCGUGCCGUUGAAACUGAUGUUCUUGAGUGGGCGAGAAGUAGGCGGAAUGCGUGGUGUAGCGGUGAAAUGCAUAGAUAGCACGCAGAACUCCGAUUGCGAAGGCAGCAUACCGGCGCCCAACUGACGCUGAGGCACGAAAGCGUGGGUAUCGAACAGGAUUAGAUACCCCGGUAGUC
rnacentral:rRNA from 1 species